UUUCAUUCAAAAACACAAGUCUUGUGUGAGCUUCUUAAUGUUUUCCUUGGGAGCUCCCCUUCUAGUCUUUUUAAAGAGUCCUCUAAAGCAAGUUCGCGUGGAUCCACCUGACUGACCGGUUCCCCACGGCCAUGGGUCGAACUCGGUAUUGCCAUCAUUGUUUCGUAGAUUCGCCUUUCGGGGCUUGAAUCUCUCUAUGUGUCAUUUGUUACUAUUAUUACUAUGUUGUGUUGCUUAUGAUAUUUGUGAUGUAUCUUGUUGUAAUGUAUGUCAUAGUUUCACAUUUCUAAACACAUGUUAUAAAUACCGUUAUUCAAAAAAAUAAUAUUUCAAAAACGUUUUUAAAUAAAAACCGAAUCUAUUCACCAACAUGUUUGUUGACCCAAAACUCUUUUACGCGUGAUACAGGUACACAAGGGUGGGCGGAUUUUGAGUUGAAGACACGUAGGACUGCCUUAGUAAUAAACCGGAUAUGUUAUGUUUCUUUUAUUUAUUUGAAUAAGAAUCUUGUU
rnacentral:lncRNA from 1 species